rnacentral:lncRNA from 1 species
CAGUGAUAUUGUUUGCCUCAAAUUACAGCCGAAAUUCGGCUUUUUCCCCUAGAGAAAAUUCCCAAUUACUAAAAAAAAUGGCUUAAAAUUCCUCCCAAAAUUUUUUACAUUUUCCCAAAACAGUGAUGGCAUUGGUAGUAAUGUUUGUAAAUUUCGUAUUCAUGUUAUUAUUUUGAUAUUAGAAAGCACUUUUGAGAUCCAGUUUUCUGAUCAGAAUCAUCAUGGUGUUUGUAAGACACAUGGUUUUCAAUGCAUUAAGUACCAUCAUUGUUUUGGUUUCACUCCCCUCUCCGAAAAGUACCUUUCAGGUUGAAAAUGUCGGACAACCAAAAUAUACAUGAAAAAAACUGCAAAAAAGACAGCAAAGGUCAGCACAAAAUCGGAGAUGUGUUUAGAAUCAAAAAUAUACAAAAAUUUCAAUAAAAAAUAUGCAAUUUUCCCAAUAAAAAACGGUAGAGGUAGUUUUGAAAAAAGACAACAAUAUCACUG